ACGGAUCUAGAAUAGAUAUAAAGAAAAAUAGAAGAACUUCAAAAGCUAGGUUUUCAGAGGAACUCAAACGAUGAGAAAGGCUUGGAUGGUUGUUGAUCUAAAUCGAAGGAGUCAAGGCCAGGAUCGAGCAGAUAUGGAUUGCCAAAAAUGGUCUAAAACUUGAAACACACAAAGAUCUAGACCAUGAUCUUUUGUGAUCAGGUCAUGAGACUUCGUUAACCAAGCGUACAUAAGUCAUAAAAGGCUAAUGGAUGGUGAAAAUACCAUGGAUCCAAGCCAGGAGGUGGCCGGAGAAGGUGAAUGAAGCCCAUCGGAGUAGAGAGGGAAAG
rnacentral:lncRNA from 1 species